rnacentral:tRNA from 1 species
GCCUGGGUGGCUCAGCAGUUGAGCAUCUGCCUUCCGCUCAGGUUGUGAUCCCGGGGUGCGGGAUCAAGUCCCACAUCGGGCG